rnacentral:rRNA from 1 species
CAGUAGCCGCGGGAAUACGUAGGUGGCAAGCGUUAUCCGGAAUUAUUGGGCGUAAAGCGCGCGUAGGCGGUUUUUUAAGUCUGAUGUGAAAGCCCACGGCUCAACCGUGGAGGGUCAUUGGAAACUGGAAAACUUGAGUGCAGAAGAGGAAAGUGGAAUUCCAUGUGUAGCGGUGAAAUGCGCAGAGAUAUGGAGGAACACCAGUGGCGAAGGCGACUUUCUGGUCUGUAACUGACGCUGAUGUGCGAAAGCGUGGGGAGCGAACAGGAUUAGAUACCCGCGUAGUCCCUGUCUCUUAUAC